rnacentral:rRNA from 1 species
AGUGAACGCUGGCGGUAGGCCUAACACAUGCAAGUCGAACGGCAGCACAGUAAGAUCUCGCUCUUACGGGUGGCGAGUGGCGGACGGGUGAGGAAUACAUCGCAAUCUACUUUUUCGUGGGGGAUAACGUAGGGAAACUUACGCUAAUACCGCAUACGACCUACGGGUGAAAGCAGGGGAUCUUCGGACCUUGCGUGAUUGAAUGAGCCGAUGUCGGAUUAGCUAGUUGGCGUGGUAAAGGCCCACCAAGGCGACGAUCCGUAGCUGGUCUGAGAGGAUGAUCAGCCACACUGGAACUGAGACACGGUCCAGACUCCUACGGGAGGCAGCAGUAGGGAAUAUUGGACAAUGGGCGCAAGCCUGAUCCAGCAAUGCCGCGUGGGUGAAGAAGGCCUUCGGAUUGUAAAGCCCUUUUGUUGGGAAAGAAAAGCAGCAGGUUAAUACACGGCUGUUCUGACGGUACCCAAAGAAUAAGCACCGGCUAACUUCGUG